rnacentral:rRNA from 1 species
AUUGAACGCUGGCGGCAUGCCUUACACAUGCAAGUCGAACGGCAGCACGGACUUCGGUCUGGUGGCGAGUGGCGAACGGGUGAGUAAUGCAUCGGAACGUGCCAUUGAGUGGGGGAUAACGUAGCGAAAGUUGCGCUAAUACCGCAUAUUCUGUGAGCAGGAAAGCAGGGGACCGCAAGGCCUUGCGCUCUUUGAGCGGCCGAUGUCAGAUUAGCUAGUUGGUGAGGUAAAGGCUUACCAAGGCGACGAUCUGUAGCGGGUCUGAGAGGAUGAUCCGCCACACUGGAACUGAGACACGGUCCAGACUCCUACGGGAGGCAGCAGUGGGGAAUUUUGGACAAUGGGGGCAACCCUGAUCCAGCCAUGCCGCGUGAGUGAAGAAGGCCUCGGUUGUAAGACUCUUCGUCCGGGUACGGAAAGUACG